GCAAGUCGAACGAUGAACCGCUUUCGGGCGGGGAUUAGUGGCGAACGGGUGAGUAACACGUGGGCAAUCUGCCCUGCACUCUGGGACAAGCCCUGGAAACGGGGUCUAAUACCGGAUAUGACCGUCUGCCGCAUGGUGGAUGGUGUAAAGCUCCGGCGGUGCAGGAUGAGCCCGCGGCCUAUCAGCUUGUUGGUGAGGUAGUGGCUCACCAAGGCGACGACGGGUAGCCGGCCUGAGAGGGCGACCGGCCACACUGGGACUGAGACACGGCCCAGACUCCUACGGGAGGCAGCAGUGGGGAAUAUUGCACAAUGGGCGAAAGCCUGAUGCAGCGACGCCGCGUGAGGGAUGACGGCCUUCGGGUUGUAAACCUCUUUCAGCAGGGAAGAAGCGAAAGUGACGGUACCUGCAGAAGAAGCGCCGGCUAACUACGUGCCAGCAGCCGCGGUAAUACGUAGGGCGCAAGCGUUGUCCGGAAUUAUUGGGCGUAAAGAGCUCGUAGGCGGCUUGUCACGUCGGUUGUGAAAGCCCGGGGCUUAACCCCGGGUCUGCAGUC
rnacentral:rRNA from 2 species